CGAGCUUUGCUCACAGGCACAUCAUAUCCCAUAACACCUGGUGCACUUGUCGGAUGGCUUAGUGAAGACCGCAAGGUUGAAUCUAUCCAUCUACUUUACAUAACAAUUCUGUAACAAAUGUAGUCUUAUUAUAACAUAAUAAAACUUUCAACAACGGAUCUCUUGGCUCUCGCAUCGAUGAAGAACGCAGCGAAAUGCGAUAAGUAAUGUGAAUUGCAGAAUUCAGUGAAUCAUCGAAUCUUUGAACGCACCUUGCGCUCCUUGGUAUUCCGAGGAGCAUGCCUGUUUGAGUGUCAUGAAAACCCUCAACCCUAGAUUGGUUAAAACCUUUCUUUGGUUUGGAUUUGGACGUUUGCCGAUGAUAAGUCGGCUCGUCUUAAAAGUAAUAGCUGGAUCUGUCUCGCGACAUGGUUUGACUUGGCGUAAUAAGUAUUUCGCUAAGGACAUCUUCGGAUGGCCGCGUUGCAGGACUAAAGACCGCUUUCUAAUCCAUUGAUCUUCGGAUUAAUACUCUUGACAUCUGGCCUCAAAUCAGGUAGGACUACCCGCUGAACUUAAGCAUAUCAUAACG
rnacentral:rRNA from 1 species